CAGCCGUAAACUAUGCGCGUUAGGUGUAUCGGUGACCACGAGUUACCGAGGUGCCGAAGGGAAACCGUGAAACGUGCCGCCUGGGAAGUACGGUCGCAAGGCUGAAACUUAAAGGAAUUGGCGGGGGGAGCACCACAACAGGUGGAGCCUGCGGUUUAAUUGGGCUCAACGCCGGACAACUCACCGGGGACGACAGCAAUAUGUAGGCCAGGCUGAAGACCUUGCCUGAAUCGCUGAGAGGAGGUGCAUGGCGUAGACGUCU
rnacentral:rRNA from 1 species